CCUACGGGAGGCAGCAGUGAGGAAUAUUGGUCAAUGGGCGAUAGCCUGAACCAGCCAAGUAGCGUGAAGGAUGACUGCCCUAUGGGUUGUAAACUUCUUUUAUAUGGGAAUAAAGUGCAGUAUGUAUACUGCUUUGCAUGUACCUUAUGAAUAAGGAUCGGCUAACUCCGUGCCAGCAGCCGCGGUAAUACGGAGGAUCCGAGCGUUAUCCGGAUUUAUUGGGUUUAAAGGGAGCGUAGGCGGGUUGUUAAGUCAGUUGUGAAAGUUUGCGGCUCAACCGUAAAAUUGCAGUUGAUACUGGCAGCCUUGAGUACAGUAGAGGUAGGCGGAAUUCGUGGUGUAGCGGUGAAAUGCUUAGAUAUCACGAAGAACUCCGAUUGCGAAGGCAGCCUGCUGGACUGUAACUGACGCUGAUGCUCGAAAGUGUGGGUAUCAAACAGGAUUAGAUACCCUGGUAGUC
rnacentral:rRNA from 1 species